rnacentral:rRNA from 1 species
GAUGAACGCUGGCGGCGUGCCUAAUACAUGCAAGUCGAACGGAAAGGCCCCCACCUUUUGGUGGGGGUGCUCGAGUGGCGAACGGGUGAGUAACACGUGGGUGAUCUGCCCUGUACUUCGGGAUAAGCUUGGGAAACUGGGUCUAAUACCGGAUAGGACCAUGGUUUAGUGUCUCAUGGUGGAAAAAUAUUGUUUUGGUGCAGGAUGAGCUCGCGGCCUAUCAGCUUGUUGGUGGGGUAAUGGCCUACCAAGGCGUCGACGGGUAGCCGGCCUGAGAGGGUGGACGGCCACAUUGGGACUGAGAUACGGCCCAGACUCCUACGGGAGGCAGCAGUGGGGAAUAUUGCACAAUGGGCGCAAGCCUGAUGCAGCGACGCCGCGUGGGGGAUGACGGCCUUCGGGUUGUAAACUCCUUUCGUUAGGGACGAAGCCGCACCUUUUUUGGGUGUGGUGACGGUACCUUUGUUAAGAAGCACCGGCUAACUACGUGCCAGCCGCCGCCGUAA